AUCUCAAAUCAAGUAAGACUACCCGCUGAACUUAAGCAUAUCAAUAAGCGGAGGAAAAGAAACUAACAAGGAUUCCCCUAGUAACGGCGAGUGAAGCGGGAUGAGCUCAAAUUUAAAAUCUGGCUGGUUUACUAGUCCGAAUUGUAGUUUAAAGAAGCGUUUUCGGUGGCAGCCUGGGUAUAAAUCCUUUGGAACAGGGUAUCAUAGAGGGUGAGAAUCCCGUCUUUGACUCAGUGCAUGCUACUAUGUGAUACGUUUUCAAAGAGUCGAGUUGUUUGGGAAUGCAGCUCAAAAUGGGUGGUAAAUUUCAUCUAAGGCUAAAUAUUGGCGAGAGACCGAUAGCGAACAAGUACCGUGAGGGAAAGAUGAAAAGAACUUUGAAAAGAGAGUUAAACAGUGCGUGAAAUUGUUGAAAGGGAAACGCUUGACACCAGUCAUGCGAGCGGAAAAUCAGUCUUUUGCAGUGGGGAGUUGUGUGGGUUCGGACCGCAAGGCCGGCCUGUGCUGCAUCUCUGCUGUAAGUGAUGCACUUUUUCGUUUGCAGGCCAACAUCAGUUUCUUCUGCUGGACAAAACUCUUGAGAAGGUAGCAGCUUUGGCUGUGUUAUAGCUCUUGAGCGAUACAGUGGAGGGGACUGAGGUUUUCGCAGCGCGUGCUCUCGGGCAAGGCUGAUUGGGUGCUAUGGGAUCGUUCGGUGUACAAUGCAUGCAUUUUGCGCCGUGUCUUUUCUAUACUCGCUCAACUCGGNUCUCCGCG
rnacentral:rRNA from 1 species